UACGAAGGGUGCAAGCGUUACUCGGAAUUACUGGGCGUAAAGCGUGCGUAGGCGGUUUGUUAAGUCUGUCGUGAAAGCCCCGGGCUCAACCUGGGAAUGGCGGUGGAAACUGGCGAGCUAGAGUACGGUAGAGGAGAGUGGAAUUCCCGGUGUAGCAGUGAAAUGCGUAGAGAUCGGGAGGAACAUCAGUUGCGAAGGCGGCUCUCUGGACCAGUACUGACGCUGAGGCACGAAAGCGUGGGGAGCAAACAGG
rnacentral:rRNA from 1 species